UUUCAUUGUUUACCCUUAAUUGCAGAGUUUAGAGAGUACAUGUAAUGACAUCGGAAAGAAAAUACUUCCCGAACAUUUGAUCCUUGCAGCAGAUUGCCUAUCAUCCACAGGAGAAUUUGUGGGUUUAAAUGCAAAAGGCACUGCCCAACAACAAGAACACACAUCUGUAUCAUCGCCAUUCAUGCAAGCGUGUUUCUCAUAGCCAAGGCUGGAGCUCUGGAUGAACUUCCGGGGAGUUUGGAAGCCUUGGCAUGGGGAAAGCCUCCUCCUUCGGGGACUGGCAGGCAAUUUGAAGUUUUAUUUUCUCAGAAGGGGCUCAACUUAUCCAAGCCACUCUAUGUUUACGACAUGCUCGGCUGCCAAGUUGGUUCCAUUAAGGAAAAUGAAGUUAAAGUGCCUGAUGCUUGGAACAUCUCUAGAUCAGUCAUUAAAAAGUAUCUAAAGUUCAACGAUAUUCUGAAGUGGUCUCAGACAUGGAGGCACAUAUUACGCACGUAUCCCAUCAAUGAAACACUAAAUGAUGAGGACAAGUCAAAACUGAUGACAGCUUUAUAUUUUCAUCCCCAUAGAAUGCAUAAGAUGGGAUCUGGAGUUUAAGACAUAAAGGUCGGUUCUCACCCUAAACAUGAGGGCGCACGCUGCUUUAUGGUAGUACGAACAGAUGGAACAGUUGAAGAUUUUUCGUACCACAAGUGCGUGAUGGGUGCUCUUGAUACUGUAGCACCUCAGAGGGUAAAGAGCUACCAGUCAAAAUGGUUUGACCAUGGACCUGAAUAAACCGGUCCAUAUCAUGUAUAUUUUCCGGUGUCCAAGCAUGUACAGUAGGUGUAGAUUAGAGAAAUAAGAUCUUCAAAAUGGACCCUUCACCUUAUUUAGCUGUGGAUGUUUCAGAAUCCGAAGCCCCCAAGAAUUUGGAUCAAAAGUUACUGCCUGGGCAGCACCGGCGGAUAAAGUUAGUAUACAUGAAUUUUGCUAGUCUAACUAUACAAAGGGCAGCGACUCAUCUCAAGGAGACGGUGUUUUGAAGUUCCGAUACCUUUAUCAAAGCUGCAAUCCUUGUUCAUACACAGGCUUCUCAGGUACGAAAUGAGCCAUCUCAGAUCGGUUCAUUGCUCCGUCCCAGAGUAACUUGUAAGGGAAACAGAAUAUUUCGAGCUUGAAGAGGGGUUGGCGAAGUCGGCCAUUUUUCUCUUUUUGCUUUUGUUUUCAGGUCUCUGUGGCUCCAAUGCUCUAUGCUUCCUUUCGCUACUUCUAUUGGAACUUGUUUGCCGUACAUUUAGAAACAGGCAGAAGAGAUCUAGUGGAAGUAGCAAGGGGAAGCUGGCACUGGAUUUAAGCCCCCCUUUUAUUGUUGUAAUAAUUUGAUAAAACAGAAAAAUGUUGUGACAACUUAA